rnacentral:sRNA from 1 species
UGUGUCCAUGUGUGUAAGUGCGUGUGA